rnacentral:lncRNA from 1 species
CUGACAGCUCUUAGCUGCCCCUGAUUCCCUCCCCUUCGUAUUGUCUCGGUGUCCCAUCUGUUUAUCACACCAUGUUGCCAUUUCUGUCUGGCCUAGGUGCCCUAUCAUCUGCCACAUGACUGGGCCUCUUUGCACCUACCACGUUGACCCCAAGGGUCUCUCGAAUACCUCCUGGAGUUACCCCGUAAAGAAGAGCAGCCCCAGCUGUGGCCCCAGCCAGCUGCGCAGCGAUAUAGGCCAUAGCCCGAGGCAGAGAGAUAUGGGAUCCCACGAGGUAGGCCAGGGUCACAGCAGGGUUGGCGUGGGCCCCGCUGGUCUUCCAGGAGAUCUGCACGGCUGUGGCUGUGGCCAGAUUGAAGGUGAUGGCGAUCUGGAGCACAGAGGGAAGCGCCACAGGCCAGGGCAGAACAGAGCCCACACCAAAGAAAACGUACAGCCCCGUGGCCAGGAACUCAGCAAAAAGCGCCUUGCUGAUGGCGGUCCAAAGCCCGCCAACCAGAAGGUAAGCCCUGCUACACAGCCCUGGCUCCAUGUCUUGUCACCUGCUUGCCUUCAGGUCUGCUGCCUCUUCUCCCUGAUUCGUUCUGUUCCCUCAGGUCUCUUGACCCCUCCCCAGCUCUCCUGGCCUCCCUUUCUGUGGCAGCUUCCCCAGCCAGCUAAGGUGCCCCCAGCACACUGCUGGCCUUAGAAACAAGCUGCUCAGAUUCAUGGGGAGCCAGCUGAUGGCAUUGUGCGUGUCUGGGGGUGGGAGGUUCAGAGUGCUCACGUGUCUGUUCCAGCUCGG